rnacentral:pre_miRNA from 1 species
CUGUGUUUUAAUGUGUUGUGUUUGUCGGAACCCCUGAUUACAUUUUUGUUAAGCGCAG